GACGAACGCUGGCGGCGUGCUUAACACAUGCAAGUCGAACGGAAAGGCCCUGCUUGCAGGGUCCUCGAGUGGCGAACGGGUGAGUAACACGUGGGUGAUCUGCCCUGCACUUCGGGAUAAGCCUGGGAAACUGGGUCUAAUACCGGAUAGGAGCCAUUUUUAUUGUGAUGGUUGGAAAGUUUUUUCGGUGUAGGAUGAGCUCGCGGCCUAUCAGCUUGUUGGUGGGGUAAUGGCCUACCAAGGCGGCGACGGGUAGCCGGCCGGAGAGGGUGGACGGCGACAUUGGGACUGAGAGACGGCACAGACGCCGAAGGGAGGCAGCAGUGGGGAAUAUUGAACAAUGGGCGCAAGCCGGAUGCAGAGACGCCGCGUGGGGGAUGACGGCCUUCGGGUUGAAAACUCCAUUAGAUAGGGACGAAGCUUUUUGUGACGGUACCUAGAGAAGAAGCACCGGCUAACUACGUG
rnacentral:rRNA from 1 species